rnacentral:ncRNA from 2 species
UUCUUAUCCAGAGAGGCAGAGGGACUGGCCCAGUGACGCCCGGCAACCUGAACAUGUUAUUAAAUGCUCAAGGUGCUAAUUCCAGCAAACCAGAAGUGGUUUGGAAGAUAAGAG